UGGUGGUAAUUCCCAACUACAUGGGACGGAA
rnacentral:piRNA from 1 species